CCUGUAGUACAAUGGAUGGUGCAUUGGACUUCUAAUCCAAAUGUUGUGGGUUCGAAUCCCGCUGGGUGGU